GCACCCGUAGCUCAGCUGGAUAGAGCGCUGCCCUCCGAAGGCAGAGGUCGCACGUUCGAAUCGUGCCGGGUGCGCCA
rnacentral:tRNA from 23 species